rnacentral:rRNA from 1 species
AGAGUUGAUCCUGGCUCAGGACGAACGGCUGGCGGCAUGCCUAACACAUGCAAGUCGAACGGAGUAAUGACUUCGGUUAUUACUUAGUGGCGAACGGGUGAGUAACACGUGAAUAAUCUGCCCUGUACGAUGGGAUAACAGCUGGAAACGGCUGCUAAUACCGUAUAUGACCACGCCGAGGCAUCUCGGAGGGGUGAAAGCGCUUAAGCGGUACAGGAUGAGUUCGCGUCCAAUUAGCUAGUUGGUGAGGUAACGGCCCACCAAGGCGACGAUUGGUAGCCGACCUGAGAGGGUGAUCGGCCACACUGGGACUGAGACACGGUCCAGACUCCUACGGGAGGCAGCAGUGGGGAAUAUUGGGCAAUGGAGGAAACUCUUUAACCCCCAGCAAUGCCGCGUGAGUGAUGAAGGUCUUCGGAUUGUAAAGCUCUUUGAUUGGGGACGAAUAAAUGACGGUACCCAAGGAACAAGCCCCGGCUAACUAUGUGCCAGCAGCGGC